ACACAAUCACCGAAAGAAAUAGCCAGAGGUAAAGCAGCUUUGACCACGAUUGCCGACUCCAUACUCCUUCACUGCCUUCCUGGUGGACUGGGUGCUGAGUGUAUACUACUGAGGAUUGCCUUGUCUCAAACCCAUCGGCUGAACUGCUUAGUUCAACUCACUCCAAAAGCUUUUGGAAGUCCCUGGAGGAUGCUACACAUAGCCUGGGGCAUUUGAAGUGUUAGCCUACUUACUUUACAAAGACUGCCACGCCCAUUGUGGGAUGGAGUCCAGUGCUGAGGGCAGGAGAGUUCUCCAGCCUGUUUACAGAGCAUCGUCUUUGUCUGCACUGUGCAUAUUUCACAUUUUCUCAGAGGUAACGGGCUAUCUGCCAGUGAUCUUGCUCAGCUCCUGAGCUGCCCUGUUUCUUCAGGAAUGUAAGUAACCCUUUAUCUGAUUUGUCCUCUACCUUUGAGUUUUACAUUUCCCACUUGCUAUAUAUAAUGCACCGACUAACACAGAUGCAGAGAUCUGCUCUUUUCUUCUUCAUGAGAUGACAUCAACACGCUUUGUCUGGCCAGUUCAUCACCUGUGAGGUGUGUGUCUCACCUGUGAGGUGUGUGUCUCACCUGUGAGGUGUGAUGUGUCAGGACCUGCUUCUGUACUACACUGGAAAGUAUGCCAGGGGCUGUUUUGUUUUAUAUGUUUCUCUUUCCUGCCCAUACCACCCUCUUUGUUCAUCCUCUUAAAGAUUAAAAAUGUCAAGGAUAUGAAUAGCUUGAAAUGAACUAAGUCAGUCACUGUUAUUACAGAAGAACUUUGCCCAGAAUCCAAACCUGACUCCAUUUAGAUACACUGCUGCGUCUUAUACAUAACUUGUCUUCCAUCUCUUGCCUUAGCUUGGGACCCGACCUGCAAGCUUACCAGAUGAAGUCUUCCCAGUUUCCUUUUACUUUGAUGCACUGGGCUUGGGUCCGAGCACAGGGCACACAUGAGGAGGGCCCUUCGACUACUAACUGCUGCAGAGGGAUCUCCUGAACCCAGCACAUGGCUUUCUUACUGCACAUCAGAAAAGAGGAGAGUGGUUUCCAAAACAAACAAACAAACAAAAAAAUGAACGAACCAACCAACCAACAAACAAAACAAGCAAACACCACACUUCCUCUGGGACAUCACAUGCUAAGACUGACCUCAGCAAAGUUAGGCACCUAUUCCAGCAGCUAGUAGGCUUCAUUUAUUGAGGGAGUUUCAAGCUCAAUGAAAGCCAAGGACUGAGCCCUCUAGUGAACACAGAGUUCCCCAGCCCCCUGUCCCAAGUUAAGCUUCCAGUGCACUGCGCUUUGCAGACAGGAGAUAGCUGAGUAUCUUCCAGGUGUUUCACCUGCAAAGGUACAGACAGCGAGUGAAUUGAAUGUCUUCUGGGUGUACCACUUGUAGAGGUGCCUUUUUCAAUUCUCGUAAACUUUCUACUUCUAAAGCACCUCUUCUGUAGUUUUGUGAAGAAUGUGAUAUAAAGUUAGUAAAAGUGACUUUGGAAAAAGAAUUCACACAAGCACAAGUAAACAGGUGUCCUGGAAAGCUUGAAUUUCAGAAGGAAGCAGAGGCUUUGCCAGCAGCUACUUGGUUGUCCUGCGUACGGUGAUCUGCUGGAAAGCUCCAGAGGAGAGCUGGACUCACAAGGGAUCUGGGAAAGACAUGGAGCAUUUGUGAUAUUUUAAUAAACAUUUUAC